UAGCUUUGAUGCUGAAGAAAAUGAGCUGUAAGUUACGUUUCUGGCUGAUGGAGAUGGGCUCUGAGCCUCCAUGGAUGCAGACCUUCAUGAGACAACUGUUCAGAAGACCUAAAAAUAAACACUCAAGUUCAAAUCCUGAAGUUCUUUGCUUUCUUCUUGCCUUGCUCAAAGAGACCUCCAGUGCAUCUGCAGGCGCUGCUCCAGCACACAUGAUGAAUAGCAAUCUGAAUGAUAAAGAAGAUAAGCAGGAAAUGUCUCCACAUCAGAGAAAAUGUCUGACUUGUUAGACUGUCAUUUAAGGAAAUUUCCAUAUAGAAGACAAUCUUUCACAGGGCAGAACUGCACUCAGCAAUGUGGUCUGUAUUCUGCAGAACAUUCCGUUCACAUCAGCUACAGUGGGGAGCCUGGGGAAAAGCACUGGUUCCUCUUUAAAUAUACUGAAAAAUUUUACUUGAAUAUUGCUUCAACCAUUAUUGAAACUGCAACUGUUUCUCCACCCCUUCCCUUCAUGUGCUCUCUUUCCUCAAAAAUGGGCUGAGGAUUGGAGUUAUUAGAACCUUCAGGAAAUAAACAAACAAACAAACAAACAAAUAAAUAAACCAAAUCACCACCACCAAAAAUAAAAAAAUAAAAAAAAUCCAGAACUGGGUCUUUGCACUUGCCAAAUCAAAAGGGAAGAUUCAUAGCAAAAUAAAUGGCAUGUCAGAGGAGCAAGAUCUAGUAUGCCGCAGAUGUUAAACACUACUUCUCUCCUGAAGCAGUAUUAUGUGAUCAAGGAGGAAGUGUCAAGGAGGAGGUUACUGAAAGUUUACAGAGAACCACAUAACCUGGAGAGUGUCCUCUCAGUUCCUGUCACCUUUGACACGCACUUUCAUCUCACUGCUCAGCAUCCCUGCUCCUGCAGGAAUGCCUGUCUCUUUUCUUUCAUACUGAGACAUGCAAACAAGGGAAGGAAAAUUUUUCCUGUUGCAUACACAUUAUGUGAGAAGGGUAAAACCAUAUAGGAGAUUUAUUUUGAAGAGCAGACUCACUCAGUCCUCUCAUACGUCCCCCCACCCCCAUCCCCCUAUUGCUGCUGCAGCUGCCUGCUGCUGUGUGCAGGCAGUGGGCUUGUGUGCAGGUGCUCUCCAA